rfam:Clostridiales bacterium 52_15 Ley3_66761_scaffold_1610, whole genome shotgun sequence.
CAGCACUUGCUGACGAUGAGCCGUCAGGACACAGCCUGGUACACUUCGGGCCGGGUUUCGCCCCGGAACCACCCGCGGCGAUGGAACGGCUGUGAGGCUACAAGGAG